rnacentral:rRNA from 1 species
UACGUAGGGUGCAAGCGUUGUCCGGAAUUAUUGGGCGUAAAGCGCGCGUAGGCGGCUACUUAAGUCGGAUGUGAAAGCCCUUGGCUCAACUGAGGAAGUGCACCCGAAACUGAGUGGCUUGAGUACCAAAGAGGGUCGCGGAAUUCCCGGUGUAGAGGUGAAAUUCGUAGAUAUCGGGAGGAACACCGGUGGCGAAGGCGGCGACCUGGGUUGAUACUGACGCUGAGGCGCGAAAGCGUGGGGAGCAAACAGG